UACGAAGGGGCUAGCGUUGCUCGGAAUCACUGGGCGUAAAGCGCACGUAGGCGGAUUGUUAAGUCAGGGGUGAAAUCCUGGAGCUCAACUCCAGAACUGCCUUUGAUACUGGAGAGCUUGAGUCCGGAAGAGGUGAGUGGAACUCCGAGUGUAGAGGUGAAAUUCGUAGAUAUUCGGAAGAACACCAGUGGCGAAGGCGGCUCACUGGUCCGGUACUGACGCUGAGGCACGAAAGCGUGGGGAGCAAACAGGG
rnacentral:rRNA from 1 species